rnacentral:rRNA from 1 species
AUUGAACGCUGGCGGUAGGCCUAACACAUGCCAGUCGAACGGCAGCACAGUAAGAGCUUGCUCUUACGGGUGGCGAGUGGCGGACGGGUGAGGAAUACAUCGGAAUCUACUUUUUCGUGGGGGAUAACGUAGGGAAACUUACGCUAAUACCGCAUACGACCUACGGGUGAAAGCAGGGGAUCUUCGGACCUUGCGCGAUUGAAUGAGCCGAUGUCGGAUUAGCUAGUUGGCGGGGUAAAGGCCCACCAAGGCGACGAUCCGUAGCUGGUCUGAGAGGAUGAUCAGCCACACUGGAACUGAGACACGGUCCAGACUCCUACGGGAGGCAGCAGUGGGGAAUAUUGGACAAUGGGCGCAAGCCUGAUCCAGCCAUACCGCGUGGGUGAAGAAGGCCUUCGGGUUGUAAAGCCCUUUUGUUGGGAAAGAAAAGCAGCAGGUUAAUACCCCGCUGUCCUGACGGUACCCAAAGAAUAAGCACCGGCUAACUUCGUG